rnacentral:sRNA from 1 species
AUGAGCUCCCAACAGUGUACUGCUUCACAGCCAUUGACCUUACUGGUAGAUAUCCCUGGAAAGUUUCCAGCUCUCAGUUUACUUGAAAUGACUUUCAUGAAGCAGAGAAAAUUGAUUGGGAAGAAAAUUUGCCAGCGUUCAGCUUGAACAGGAAAACUGCUGUGGUGUAUGACAAAGGUACUGGAGAAAUAGCAUAUAAGGGAAGGAUGAAACUAAACCAGGAAUGGAUGAACUUCUGUGGCUACAGGGCUACAGGGAAUGGAAAAACAAGAUACCCUACAUAGUAGCAGGGAGAAGCAUUUGCAAGCCACUUCAAGGGCAACUGUGUGGAAGAGUUUCAGCACAAUAUUGAUGUGGUCAAGACACUUGAGGUCAUGUGCAGAGAAUGGAUCAGAGGAUGGCAAGUCUGAAUGUUUGGAGACUGGUUCUUAAGCCAUGAGAUUUUCUACGUCUUGGUGGAGAGAGUAAGAAAUGAUGUGAGCAGGAAGUCUAUAAAUCUUUGGGUGGUGAUUCUAAAACUGUAGGUCUUGGGUUGCAAGAGAACGCACUAGAGAUCAGAUCACACGCGGAUUCUCCUCAGAGGACGAGCACCUAGACCACAGGGAAAAAUGGACUGAGCGGUGAAGGGAAAUUUCUGGGCAACACUGUAAUCGUUUAUGGGACUUGUUCUGCCAAUAGCAGCCUGAAGGAUCGUGGCUGGAAAAUCAAUAUGGAAAGAGGGGGGGAAAUUUAAAGACGUCUUGAGGAAAAUGAAAAAAAAAAAAAAAAACCCAGCCUCAUUAAAACAUUUGGAAGUAAUUACGGAAGCCACCUUGAAAUAAUCAGCCCUAAGUACAGCUUCAGAAAAGUGUAGUCUUAGCUCAGUUAACUCUUCCGAUCCCACGCAGAUGUGGGUUUCCACAGACACAACCUGAGCUCAGUAAACCCCCUGAUACCCUCUGAACUCAUUCUAAACAGGAACCGCUGGUGUACAGGGAAGGGGGCUGCACCAAACAUGGAAGAACUAUGAAUUAGAGAAGCCAUACAAAUUACCUCUGAAAAUCAUAGAAACCGAAGAAGAGCCCUAGCAACGCGUCACGGUCUUGCAUCAGAGAAACAGCUUGAAAUGUAAUGUCUGUAAUCAGCUUGGGAAUGAAGCAUAUUUCUAAAUCAGGCCUUUCUGACUUAUUUGUUAAAUGACCCCAGAAAACAAGGCACAACAGAAGAGAGCCAGCCCCAGGUGUGUGAGCUCCUGGCCCUUCCUUUCCACCAGGACACGCUAGGAGUAAGUGUCAUGGGUCAGGACUUCAGCAAGCCCAGGAAUGCCGGGAUCUCUGGUUAACCUCUGAGCAAGGCUGGUUUGCCAGUUUCCACCACCCAUCUCUCCGCUGUGUGCUUAGAAGCCCACACCACCAGAUCGAGUCUGUCUUUUCCCAUGAGUCCUUAGCAUGGAACUUAGGUCUUUAUUCUUGAACAGAAAGUGCUCUUUUAACUGAUCCAUCCUUCCAGUUCCCUAGAAGCAUCUUUAAAGGUGUUUCUGAGUCAGAGAAAGUUUAUAGGUCCUCAUUGGAAAGAGUAACUGCUUUCAUGACGCAUGGAGAGGCCUGAAGCUCAGAACGCCAUUUGGGGGAAUUU